UAUGUACAUGAGUGUUCAAAUACGUAUGGGUGUAUGUACAUGUGUGCAGAUGUAUACCCACAUGUGUAGAGGCCCAAAGUUGCUGUCAGGUGUCUUCCUUGAUGAUAUUCCACUGUAAUUAUUGAGUCAGGAUCUCUUGGUGAACCCAGAGCUCCCUGGUGCUGGAGACUCUAGCCAGCUGGCAUGUCCCAGUGAUUCUGUCUGUUUCCUGAGUACUGGGAUCACAGGAGGCCAGGAUGCCUGCCUAGCACUUAUGAGGGUCCUCAGGAUGCUAACUGGAGACCCGAUGCUUGUUUGCAGACACUUUAUUCACUGAGCUGUCUCCCAGCCUCGUGGCCAACUUUAGAAAAUUUGUGGUGCAAGUGUUCUAUGAACUGAGCUAAAAGACCUUCCAAUUCCUUUGUCCCAGGAGACUGUAAUUCUCCUCUGUCCUCAUGGCAUGAGAGCAGAGAGCAAUCCUUUGGCUGGAGUUGUGGCUGAGGAGGCUGUUGCUGGUCUGGGGCCAAGUCUAGGCUCCCUUCCUCCCCCUGCCGCCCAUCUACACAUGUGGAUGUUUCUAUAAAUCACUUUUGAUCUGUGGUCCGUACUCAGGAAGUGCUCUGACUGCUUACUCGUGUAAUGAUGGAGUGGAGGAAAGGUCUAAUUUUGGACCAACGGUGGCUUGGGCAGCACCACACUCCCCAGGAGUCUGAAUUUCCUCAAUGCAGUCGCCUCCCUGCCCUGGCAGCUGCUCACCACAAUCACACAGGCAGUCUGAAGCACUCUAUCCAUCACAGCAAAUUACUGGUGCGAUCUGCUCAGGAGUAUGGUGGGCUAGCCUUGCUACUGGCAGUCUUUGCAGAACAUUCUUGAAAAGCAAGAGAAAGGCAAGGUGAGGAGGCAGAGCUUAGCGGGUCUGGGCUAUUGAAUCAAUUAGUGAGGCUUACCCCAUUCCCUGUGGUUUACAGGCAGACCGAGGAAACGGGGCUUCUGAGGGCUGCUACGACACAGACUACAUUAUCCAACGUCCAGGAGCCUAAGCCAUGGAAUCGUGCCACCCACAUUUAGGGUCCCUGUAUAAAUCGGACACUUUCUCCAAGGCUCUUUCCAACCCAUGAGUUCUAGAAAGGAAGAGUGGAAGAGCUGCUUCUGGAAAAGCCUCCAUUGGCAGCCUGGAAUCAUGGAGGAGACACUUCUUCCUGUGGAAAGGAUGCCUCUUGCUUGAGGCGAUGCGAGGGCAGGAAGAUAGAGGUUGAGAUUGUCAUGUCAUGAGAAGAGCUGAGGACAGUGUAGAACCAUGGCUGCUGCCCAUGAUGGGAAGUGAGUCUUUAUGCAGUGCUUAUUGUUCUGACUCAGAUGUGUCAGCCAUCUGUGGUUUUGCCUCUAGGAUAGUGAGCCAGCUAGUUUAGUGUCAACCUGACACAGUUAGAGUCAUUUUUAGAAGAGGGAACCUUGAUUGAGAAAAUGCCCUCACUGAAUCAGCUUGUGGACAAGUCUGUGGUGUUAUUUUCUUGACUGGACUACAAGCUAUAAAUGGAAUCAACUCUUUCCUCCCCAAAUUGCUUCUGGUCACAUUAUCACAAUAGAAACCUCCAACUAAGAGAGGAAAAGGAGCCAGGAGACUGACAGACACAAGGGGCUCUAGCAGCCCCCGUUUUGUCUAAUUAGAGAGGGACAGGCAUUUCUGGGAGGGAUGGAGAUCCCCAAGGACACUGGGGAAAGCCCUUGCCCAGCAAGACCCUGUGAGGAGGAUGUGGGGAUGCUGGUGGUGGGAAGUGGGAGGAGCCACUGCAGUGUUCAUGCUUCUUCCUCAGCUACUGCUACUAACCCAGGAAUUCCCGAGGACUGCAGCAUUUAACACUGGAGACUGUUCCUGAAUCCUGGAUAAACUGAUGAGCUCAACAAGCCUGAUGUCAAAAGAGAUUUUGUAACAAUUCAUAUGACCCUAAACCCAAUUCUGAAAUUAACCAAGCAGUCAAUGAUGCAGUGCCUAAUGGGGACAGGGGCAGCCCUGUGUCAGGUAUUGAUGAAUUCAGAGAGUCACUUUGUAUCAGAGAGGCAUGAGUCAUGAGCUCAGCCUUCCAAGAAGGUUCGUGAAGGGGGAGCCCGGGGAGAGUGAAUGCAAUUAUCUAAAGCAAUGGCAGCUUCAAUAAAGGAUGACAAGGGGACAGCCAAUGAAAGAGAUACUGGAGCAUCUGAUUAAGACCCCGAAGGUGUUGGGUGGCAGCUUGCCAGUCCUCGGAAACUUCCAGGUGAAUCACGAUGAGAAAGGAACCACAAACAUGGCUGUUUCUAACCCGCCUUCCCACCUCUCUGCACAUGUGCGAACAUGAAAUUUUCUGAUAAGAUAUUUCUCAUGACAAAUGUCCACUCUCGCUUCUCUGAACUCUGAGGUUGAG